rnacentral:misc_RNA from 1 species
GUUGGUGAACCAGCGGAGGGAUCAUUACCGAGUUAACAAACUCCCAAACCUUUGUGAACAUACCACUGUUGCUUCGGCGGGUUCGUCCCGGGCGCGCCCUCACAGGCGUGACCCGGACCCAGGCGCCCGCCGGAGGACCCCAAACUCUUGUUUUAUACAGUAUCUUCUGAGUAACACGAUUAAAUAAAUCAAAACUUUCAACAACGGAUCUCUUGGUUCUG